ACUCCUACGGGAGGCAGCAGUGGGGAAUAUUGCACAAUGGGCGCAAGCCUGAUGCAGCCAUGCCGCGUGUAUGAAGAAGGCCUUCGGUUGUAAAGUACUUUCAGCAGUGAGGAAGGUGGGUAGUGUUAAUAGCAUAUUCAUUUGACGUUAGCUGCAGAAGAAGCACCGGCUAACUCCGUGCCAGCAGCCGCGGUAAUACGGAGGGUGCGAGCGUUAAUCGGAAUUACUGGGCGUAAAGCGCAUGCAGGUGGUUUGUUAAGUCAGAUGUGAAAGCCCGGGGCUCAACCUCGGAAUUGCAUUUGAAACUGGCAAACUAGAGUACUGUAGAGGGGGUAGAAUUUCAGGUGUAGCGGUGAAAUGCGUAGAGAUCUGAAGGAAUACCGGUGGCGAAGGCGGCCCCCUGGACAGAUACUGACACUCAGAUGCGAAAGCUGGGGAGCAAACAGGAUUAGAUACCCUGGUAGGACAGUG
rnacentral:rRNA from 1 species